GCAAGUGGUGAUUCGGUGGUAGAAUUCUCGCCUUCCGUGCAGGAAACCCAGGUUCGACUCCUAGCCAAUGCA
rnacentral:tRNA from 1 species